rnacentral:lncRNA from 1 species
GCUUGGCCAGUUUGUAAGCCUCGGUAAGGCUCGGAAUUAAUGGGUUGGGUGGCUUAGCUGGUUUGUAAGUCUUGGUAAAGAUUGGGCUAGCCUAGUUGGAACUGCCCAGUAUUAUUUUUGUUAGACAUCUCCACUUUGCUCUUCCAACUUUAAGAAUUUUUAUUAAAAAAUUGGCUCUUAGAAGCUUCAAACUUGUUCCAUGUGCAUUUUGGUACCAUAGAAGAAUGAUUUUGAAAACACUAUAAGAACUUUUCUAUAAUGAUGGAAAAAUUCUAGACAACUAGAUAUUCAAUUGCACAAGAAGUGAAAUUCUCAUGCUUAGAGGAAUGAAGUAUGAUAUUCAACCAGAAUAGAAAUCAAUAUAGAUGAAAAAAAAGCUUGAUAAAUAACGCAAAAUAUGUAGUUUGGUCAAUGCAAUUUGAGUUAUGUUAAUACAAUUCUGAAACUAAAAUUUGUUGUUACUCUAAACUCAAGGUAGUGAUCGCAAGUAAUGGAAAUGAGUCACCUCUUAAAAAUUUAUUUUUGAGUUGUAUUUUUGGACCUAAUAUUUAAGGAUGUGCAAUCUCUCAUGUAGAUCAGGGAUAUGGAAAAAUAAAUAAAUUUUGAAAAUUAAAAAUAAUAAUUCUAUUAGAAAAACAUGUAGACCGUUAGUUUCAAUUGCUUUUAGAUGGACCAACUAUUUGCAUCCAUUUUUAAGAUAGAUGCUUUAUAUCUCGCAGACCGCAUAUGUAGAAAUGUGAUCCAUGCUGCAUGAAACAAUUUUUAUCUUUCGAAUUUAUAAAUUUUCUGCAAUAUCUUUUUAUGGUGGCUGUUGAUCAUGUAUAUGAUGUGAGGAGAGGGAUUGGAUAGUUUUAUUCAUGAGAGUUUAGUGGUUUUUUACUCAUGAUAGGUUGAGAGCGAUGGGGUUCGAUAAAUUUAUUGUUUAGUAGUGCUUGUCCAAAUAUUUUGGAUCUUUGGAUUUUAAAAAUCAAAAUUCUUUAUUUCUUCCUAUCCAAACAGGCUCUAAAAGUAAGGGGUGAAAGUGAUAAAUUUUUUUAAGACGAAUAGGGUCUAUUUGUAGAAAGAUGGGUUGCUUACAUAAGUAGAAAAUGAAUUUCGAGAUCUGAUUUAUUAGGUUCAAUCCAUCUUUGCAUAAAACGGUGAGUCAGUGGCUCUAUCUUUGGUAGGAAUUGAGCCUAUAAUUGUAAAGCAUCAAGUACUAACAAAUUAAUUCGGUAAGUACUGAUGAUUUGACAUCAUUUUUUUAUCUAUCAUUUUUAAGUUAAAGGGAAUUAUUUCAUGCCUGUCAUUGUAAUAAAAUGAAACACAUCUAAAAAAUCAUGUUUUUGACAUUUGUAGGGCCUCAAAAUUUACACACUCUCUCUAUAUCCUCAUGAUCAAUUAAAAAAAAAAAAAUUCAAUUUUCUCCCUUGACAUGGUAUAACUUAGUGCUCUUUGAUAAUGAAUCUCUACUCUCCAUUUGAUGAAUUUUAAGAUCUAGGUCUUAAUAAAUUCAAAAUCACUUUUUUGUUUUUUAACAUUGUUAAUAUAAUGAUAAUUAUGCAAUCUAAGAAUUUUUAGAAGAAAAAAAUCAUUCCGAUGCCUAUAUCUAAUCAUCCUAAAAUGGAUGGUCUUUAUUAAUUGAGCUAAAAAAAAUCACUUUCUAAAGUAUUUUUUCAAAAAUAAAUAAAUAUUACUCUUUAGAAUAAAAAAAGUGGUUAUUUAAAAACUGGUUUCAAUCAAAUGGUUCUAACAUGAUUUUUGAAGAUGGUCUCAAUAAAUUACUAUACAACUAUUACAUGAAAUCAUUCCUUAGAUAUGGUAAAUAUUUUUUUUUUCCAAUGUUCUAAUGUAAUAGCAUAUCCAAGAAAAUUAUAGCAAUGACUAUCUCUUCUAUGAGGAGAUUAUAAAAACACAAAAGGGAUACAUAUUUUGGGAGCCAUACAUCAUCAAUACUAUGGCCAAUUGAGUACAACUAUGACUUGAAAACCAUAUGUAAGUGGUGAGCCUAAUAUCAUUGAUAACUUUUUCUAAAUACAUUUUUUUUUUUGUUUAUAAAUUUCUACAAUUUUCGUUAUUGUGGAAAUUCAUAUUAGAUAAUGGUUAAAGAUUUUUUAAAGUUCUAAAAGUAGUGCGCCGUAAGGGGAUUAUAUAUUUUGAAACAAUUUACCUUUCAUACAAAGAGGCCACAGUUACUUAUAGUCAUCAAAUAUGAAAUCAAACAGCUUAGGUAUGUCACACAGUAAAAUAAAUAAAUUCUUUUGAAUUUUGGGCUUAGCAAUGGAAUAAAUACAGCCACCCAAUUUCAUAUCCAAUGGUAAAAGCAUUAAGAUGAUCAUUUUCACAAUAUCAUUUCAACUAUGCUCGUGAUUAAACCCCGUUGUCCUUGCUUCAAAAAUGUUAAUAAUAAAGUUGGCCUGAACUUAUUUGCACUCACCCUAAACGUCAUUCUAAAUAGUUCCUUAUAUGACUUGUCCUGUAUGCACUAAAUUCCCAACUUUUAUUUCAAUGAAAAAUAAAAGAUUAAAUAAUUUCUUUCAUGUUGUUUACUUCACAUUCAGAAGUUAGCAUUCACAUCCCUUAACAAGAGAACUAGCUAGCAACAUUCACAGCAACUUAAUUAUUUGAUACAUUUACCAAUAACGUUGAUCAUAUAACUAUUGAGAACUCCACAGCUGUAUCAUGUAAAAAAUACUAAAAGCACCCCAACAAUGAUCAUAUAACUACUAAAACCCAAGAAAAAUAGAUUGCACUAUUAGCAGCAAACAAAUUCGAUAGAAUUGUUGUUCACAAUGAUCAGAAGAAAUAUUUGAAAUAGCAGAAGCAGCCCAACAAUAUCACAUAAAGAAACACUGAAAACAUCAGAGAAGUGAUCAUAAAUAUUGAUGAUUACCUAUGUAGCCGAAGAAUGGUUAUCCUUAAUGUUAUGUAAUGUGCAAAUAAGUGUUAUCAUCAUCAUAAUAACUUUUUCCCAUUUAAUUGGGGUUGGCUUAAUGUGCAAAUAACAGUCCAUUCUUACAUUGUUGAGCCAACGCCAUCUAUAAAGCAGGUGUUGUCCUGUGCACACUAGCUUUACUUAUUCUGUAGUGGUAGAUGCUUUAGUGAUCGAAAGCAAGAAGAUGGCAUAAGAAAAGAACAAGUUCAGGCCAUGUUCAUAGCUUGGGAGAAAACAAAACACUUUUUUGGGUUCACACAAUGAAUAAUUUCAAAAACAAACAGGCGGAAAUUGUCAAUGUUAAAUGCAAUAGAAAAGGAAAGUCUAAUAACUGGCUAAGUUACAUUUUGAAGGAAGUUUGAAAGGUAACCCGGUGGAUGAUGGCGUUAGGAGGGGCAAUAAGAGAUGAUCAAGGCCGGGGAUUGCUAACUUACUGUGGCCCGUUGCAUCAGUGCAAUUCAAUAGAUCCUAAGGUUUGGGCCCUAUGGAGGGUCUUUAGGGGUGGCAACAGGCCGGUUCAAGUUUGGGUCUGGGUCGACUAGGACCCGAUUGACUAGGUUCCACAUGGACCUAGAUGCAGGUUGGGUCUCAUUUGGAACGGAACUGACCCGUGUUUGAACAAGACUUGGGUCGGGUCUAGGUCAUUUGGAUUAGACCGAACCUGACCCGUCUAGAAAUUUAAAAAUAGGAAAUUUAUUUUAUAAAGUAUAUAUUUUAAAUUUAUAUCAAUGCGGUUGGGUCGGGUUGACCCGGACCCAACAUGGCCCAACCCAAUGGGAGUCCAAGCCUCGGGAUGACGGUGGUAGGAGGGGUAGUAAGAGAUGACUUUGGCAAGGUAUUGCUAACUUACUCUGGCCCAUGGCAUCAGUGCAAUUCAAUAGAGCCGGUUCGGGGUCAACCUGGACGACUGACUAGUUUUUACAUGAAACCUGUCUUGAGUGGGGUCCCAUUUUGUUAAAGAUAGACCAAGUCACAUUCAAUGUAAAUAUGUAAAUAUUGUGUUAUCUCUUUUCUCUUCUUCUUCUCACAUUCAAUGUAAAUAC